rnacentral:misc_RNA from 1 species
GAUGAAGAACGUAGCGAAAUGCGAUAAGUAAUGUGAAUUGCAGAAUUCAGUGAAUCAUCGAAUCUUUGAACGCACCUUGCACCCUUUGGAAUUCCAAAGGGUAUGCUCGUUUGAGUGUCAUUGUACUCUCACACUCUCCGAUCCUUUGGAUUUGGGGAGCGGUGGACUUGGGUGUUUGCUGCUUUCAUUGUGGCUCACCUCAAAUGUGUCAGUGCAUCUCUUGAUUGGACAUAGUACGGCGUGAUAAGUGUCUUCGCCGGCACCUCACUAGAGGGUGGCUGACCGGGAGCUCUGUGCUUCAAACCGUCUUCGGACAACAACUGACAACUUGACCUCAAAUCGAGUAGGACCACCCGCUGAACUUAAGCAUAUCAAUAAGCGGAGGA